GUAUGAACCAGCUGGGGAAGGCAGCAGUAUUUCUCCAUCCCUCACGAAGGUGCCUGCAAUAUUCCAGGAGCUUUUUGAGUGCUCAGGAAAGCUGAGAGCCCAGCUGAGGACAAACGGUGCCCCUCCCUGGCUCAGCGCCCGGUGCCAACAGAACACCUUGCAGGAUCCUCAGCAGCGCAGACAACACUCCAAGAUGCCGGCCUCGGCUUGGAACAGAGUGGUGUCAUGGCGGAGAUGACGGCCUUUGUCUCACAGGGUGUGAAAGCAUCCGUUGUGCUGGCUCCAUUGCAGCAGAGUGAUGUUUAAAGGGGGGAAAAAGUGCUGAAAGUCCGAGUUGAGCAGUGCUGGCGGGGGAGCCCCCAUCCUCAUGGUGGUGUGCGUCCGAGGAAGGGCUUGCAGCAGAGGAGUCUGGGUAAGGACGCCAGCCGCCUGGCACAGCUCUGCCGCCUGGUGCAGGGGGGCAGGGAAGAGCCCACAGCAGAGCCCAGGACUGCAGAGGAUGGACGGAUGGAUGGACAGACGGGCGGACGGACGUUGGCAUACGACUGGGGUGCUCCUGCCUCGUCCUCCAACGUGUCACCAUUACAAUUUGCUAUAAACAAUCAAAGCAACCCCUCCCCUCGCCUCUUCCACCCUCUCUCCUCACAGCAGGGCAAGCUCUGUAGAAGUUGCAGCAGGGAAACCAUGCCCCAGAGCUUAGCACAGCACCUGAGUGACCACUGCUGAGGUGGGGCAGCAGAGGAUGCUGACCGGGGUAGGCUUGUCCUGUCUUCAGGGCUCCUUUUAGGCUCCUUAAUGGCCUCAGAUACAUCGCUUGGGGUGAAGCAUCUCAACCAGGGGAAAGUUAGUUUGUAAUUAAGAGGGAAAUAAACCAUGUGAGGGCUUUUUGUUGGUAUUUUGC
rnacentral:lncRNA from 14 species